AGCGAACGCUGGCGGCAGGCCUAACACAUGCAAGUCGAACGGAUCCUUCGGGAUUAGUGGCGGACGGGUGAGUAACACGUGGGAACGUGCCCUUUGGUUCGGAACAACUCAGGGAAACUUGAGCUAAUACCGGAUGUGCCCUUCGGGGGAAAGAUUUAUCGCCAUUGGAGCGGCCCGCGUCUGAUUAGCUAGUUGGUGAGGUAACGGCCCACCAAGGCGACGAUCAGUAGCUGGUCUGAGAGGAUGAUCAGCCACACUGGGACUGAGACACGGCCCAGACUCCUACGGGAGGCAGCAGUGGGGAAUCUUGCGGAAUGGGCGAAAGCCUGACGCAGCCAUGCCGCGUGAAUGAUGAAGGUCUUAGGAUUGUAAAAUUCUUUCAGCGGGGACGAUAAUGACGGUACCCGCAGAAGAAGCUCCGGCUAACUUCGUG
rnacentral:rRNA from 1 species